UACGAAGGGUGCGAGCGUUAAUCGGAAUUACUGGGCGUAAAGCGUGCGCAGGCGGUUUCGUAAGACAGACGUGAAAUCCCCGGGCUCAACCUGGGAACUGCGUUCGUGACUGCGAGGCUAGAGUAUGGUAGAGGGAAGCGGAAUUCCGCAUGUAGCGGUGAAAUGCGUAGAUAUGCGGAGGAACACCGGUGGCGAAGGCGGCUUCCUGGACUAAUACUGACACUGAGGUGCGAAAGCGUGGGGAGCAAACAGG
rnacentral:rRNA from 1 species